GGGGAAUAUUGCACAAUGGGCGAAAGCCUGAUGCAGCAACGCCGCGUGAGCGAAGAAGGCCUUUGGGUUGUAAAGCUCUGUCGGGUAGGAAGAUAAUGACGGUACUACCCGAGGAAGCCCCGGCUAACUACGUGCCAGCAGCCGCGGUAAUACGUAGGGGGCGAGCGUUAUCCGGAAUUACUGGGUGUAAAGGGUGCGUAGGUGGCUGCUUAAGCGUGAGGUGAAAGGCAAUGUCUUAACCAUUGUGAGCCUCGCGAACUGGGUGGCUUGAGUGCAGGAGAGGAAAGCGGAAUUCCUAGUGUAGCGGUGAAAUGCGUAGAUAUUAGGAGGAACACCAGUGGCGAAGGCGGCUUUCUGGACUGCAACUGACACUGAGGCACGAAAGCGUGGGGAGCAAAC
rnacentral:rRNA from 1 species